rnacentral:rRNA from 1 species
UACGAAGGGGGCUAGCGUUGCUCGGAAUCACUGGGCGUAAAGCGCACGUAGGCGGACUCUUAAGUCAGGGGUGAAAUCCUGGAGCUCAACUCCAGAACUGCCUUUGAUACUGGGAGUCUUGAUUUCGGGAGAGGUGAGUGGAACUGCGAGUGUAGAGGUGAAAUUCGUAGAUAUUCGCAAGAACACCAGUGGCGAAGGCGGCUCACUGGCCCGAUACUGACGCUGAGGUGCGAAAGCGUGGGGAGCAAACAGG